rnacentral:rRNA from 1 species
GAUGAACGCUGGCGGCGUGCUUAAUACAUGCAAGUCGAACGAAGCGCCUCUCCCGAAGAUAGACCCAGCUUGCUGGGGAUUGAUUCACCUGAGGUGACUGAGUGGCGGACGGGUGAGUAACGCGUGGGUAACCUGCCUUAUACAGGGGGAUAACAGUUGGAAACGACUGCUAAUACCGCAUAAGCGCACAGUACCGCAUGGUACAGUGUGAAAAACUCCGGUGGUAUAAGAUGGACCCGCGUCUGAUUAGCUAGUUGGUGAGGUAACGGCUUACCAAGGCAACGAUCAGUAGCCGACUUGGGAGAGGAAUCGGCCACAUUGGGACUGAGACACGGCCCAAACUCCUACGGGAGGCAGCAGUAGGGAAUAUUGCACAAUGGGGGAAACCUUGAUGCAGCGACGCCGCGUGAAGGAUGAAGUAUUUCGGUAUGUAAACUUCUAUCAGCAAGGAAGAAAAUGACGGUACUUGACUAAGAAGCCCCGGCUAAAUACGUGCCAGCAGCCGCCGUAA